GGAAGUAAAAGUUGUAACAAGGUUUCCGUAGGUGAACCUGCGGAAGGAUCAUUAUUGUAUAACCGAGGUGCGAGGGCUGUCGCUGACCCGAAAGGUCGUGCACGCCCGAGUGCCCUCACACACAUCCAUCUCACCCCUAUGUGCACCACCGCGUGGGUCCCCCUUUGGCUUGUUCGGAGGGGGGCUUACGUCUUCACACAAACUUUGUAUGCAGUGUAGAAUGUAUUUUUUGUUUUUGCGAUCACGCAAUCAAUACAACUUUCAACAACGGAUCUCUUGGCUCUC
rnacentral:misc_RNA from 1 species